UACGUAGGGUGCGAGCGUUAAUCGGAAUUACUGGGCGUAAAGCGUGCGCAGGCGGUUCGUUGUGUCGGUGGUGAAAUCCCCGGGCUUAACCUGGGAAUGGCCAUGGAAACUGGCGAACUGGAGUGCGGCAGAGGGGGGUGGAAUUCCGCGUGUAGCAGUGAAAUGCGUAGAGAUGCGGAGGAACGCCGAUGGCGAAGGCAGCCCCCUGGGCUAGCACUGACGCUCAGGCACGAAAGCGUGGGGAGCAAACAGG
rnacentral:rRNA from 1 species